CUACUGUGCCAGGUGGAGGCGCCAUUGGCCUCAGGUGCAGUGAAUCAAGGAUUGUGUUUGUCUCCCUGUAUUUCGAUAGUGGCGAUCCGGUGAGAGAAACUCAGCCAGACGAGGCGGCUGGACGCCGGGAGCUCCCCAAACGAUCUGAGACGAGGAGACGGGCAAAAUGAGGGACAGAAGGCGUCUUUUUAGGUGCAGAUAUCACAGAAACGUAAAUGUAGGGAGGGGGGCAGAGAAGGAGACGAUAACUGAAGAAAAAGGGACAGAUGAAUGGAGUCCUGCAGAUCCAGCACACAAUGGGACACUGGGAAGAAAACCAUUAUACUCCCAUAAUAUAAAUUUUCAUCUCCCAAAAUGCCAGUGGCCCGUGAAUUAUUUUUUUUUCCAGACAGAAAGUGAAUGUAGAAAGAUUUUAGCAGUAAAGGGAAAAUGUUUAAUGUAUGAAAAUAAAAAGCAGCCCGAGUAUGAUUUACAGAAAGAGCGACGGCUCCCCCUGAAGGAAUGUGUGCACCACGCUGACAGAAAAGAGAGAAAGAAACGCAGAAAGUGUCACAGGUGAAAGCAUUAAUCUCUCAAUGGGUAUUACACACAAUCAUUGUGAAAUCAACCCCCCAAAACCUAGAAAAGUGACACUUGACCUAUUUUUACACUUUAACGUUCAACUAUAGAAAAUUGGUUAUCAUUCUGUAUUUAUUUUUAGGAGUCAAGUGAGCUGAAAUAAAAUGUCCCACUAGAAUCAUAUUAACAUUAGAUUGCUGUUGAGUGUUCUUCCUGAACGUGGCCACUAGAGGUCAGUGUACAUCGAGGCCAUUGGCAGUGACCUCAGAGCAUCAUGAAGAGGCGCCUCAGUGCUGGGGGGCUUGUUGCCCUUGUCUGUGUUUUAAUGUUUUAGGUUUGGAGGGUCCAGUCAGAAUAAAUGUUUUAUUCAAUUAUAUUCUGUGAAAGCUCUUUGUGUUUUAGCAGUUUGCAUAACUUGUACAUUUGAUAUGCACUGGAUUUUUCUUCUUUUACGUUAUUUUAUAUUUUAACCAAAAGUUCAUUUUUUCCUUUAUCUUGUCAUUUGGUUCUUCAUGAAAUGUAAAUCAUAUUUGUAGUUCUUUCACUUCUUUUGACAAUACUAUAUAUUUUUUUGUUUUUG
ensembl:lncRNA